rnacentral:pre_miRNA from 1 species
UGGACAGAUUAUUGUAUUCAACUGUAUUCACGGCGUGAAACAGGGGAUUACACUGUUUUUAAACGGAAAGUGAAUCAAUUAACAUAAUAGACUCCU